UGGGGCGCCGCCUUUUUGCCGUACGAAAGAGGUGUGCCAGGCGCCUCCAUUUUGCUGUACGGCAGAAGGUUGGAGGACGCCGCCAUUUUCUGAAAAGGACAGAUCCUGUACACAAUCUCUAAGCUCAAACAAAAGGUCCCUGAGGAAUUCCCGUGGUACCGCGCCAUGUACCACCCUAGCCUGCUGCCAAGAAGACAACAACCCCCCCCUCGGACGGUGAGAGGAGAGGGGGAUAUUUGCAUCUCAGGAAACAUGCAAAUUUCCCCCAAACCCAGACUACUUUAGGACAGGACCUUUACCAAAUUCUGGAAAAUACCCCAAAAGAGACGAGCCGAAACAGAAUUAAAAGGUCAGAGUGGUGUCUGGACAGCAGGGCCGAGGUCCGAAGCUGGAAGAGACACUUGAAAACCUUGGUCACUCCUCGCCCUAACUACAAACGAUGUCAGUCAGACCCAGGACCCGCUGGACUGAUAACCCAAACUGAGAAACCCUGGGUAUACCCCACUGCCUUGUGAGGACAGGACUCCAGGCCCUGCCCCUUUGGGGACAGAGCUGCAAAUCCUCUCUUCUGAUUCACUGUUGGGAGCGGCGGCAGAACUCCGCGGAUCUGCUGAAACCCCCAUCUUCGAGCUGAUCACUUUAAUAAAGGCAUUAAAAGGAGGAGAAUCUCCUGCCCUGUUUAUUUCAAAAAGGAGUCUGCGUCCAGGGGAAUGCCCCAUGGCCUCUCCCUUUAUUCAAAUAAAGUAACGUGACUCCUCUGUCUCCUUUUUGGACAUAAACCUCUGCUGUUUGUGGAUUAAUUUUUCCUUACAAGUAUAAGCCACAUUUUUUACAUCUUGCUCUGUUUGGACUGGCCCACGGGCUACAGCAUGUCACCGACAUAGUUUAUGAAAAAUCCUUUACUUAGGAAUUUUCCUCUCCUGAGAGCUGAGAGGACUCGGAACAAGCCGUAAACAAUUCUUAUUUGCUGCUGUGGAAUGCAACGGGGAGAAAUCUGUGAUUGGCCCCGUCAGACUGUUUGCAAUUAAGAGCCUAUCACAAUUCACCUGUUCGGCCCAUCUCGGGCUGAGAAGACUUCAGUUUACACAUUCUUUUCUAUUCUUAGGAUAGCCUUGGUAGUGAAAUCUCUAGCUUUAUUCUUUUAGUAUAGUUUUUAUAUCUUAUAUAUCAUAUCAUAAUAAAUCAAGCCUUCUGAUGCAUGGA